AUUGAACGCUGGCGGCAGGCCUAACACAUGCAAGUCGAGCGGGGUUUUCGGACCUAGCGGCGGACGGGUGAGUAAUGCGUAGGAAGCUACCCGAUAGAGGGGGAUACCAGUUGGAGACGACUGUUAAUACCGCAUAAUGUCUACGGACCAAAGUGUGGGACCGUCGGGCCACAUGCUAUCGGGUGCGCCUACGUGGGAUUAGCUAGUUGGUGAGGUAAUGGCUCACCAAGGCGACGAUCCCUAGCUGGUUUGAGAGGAUGAUCAGCCACACUGGAACUGAGACACGGUCCAGACUCCUACGGGAGGCAGCAGUGGGGAAUAUUGGACAAUGGGCGCAAGCCUGAUCCAGCCAUGCCGCGUGUGUGAAGAAGGCCUUCGGGUUGUAAAGCACUUUCAGUAGGGAGGAAGCGUUGUGUGUUAAUAGUACACAGCGUUGACGUUACCUACAGAAGAAGCACCGGCUAACUACGUGCCAGCCGCCGCGGUAACAC
rnacentral:rRNA from 1 species